rnacentral:rRNA from 1 species
GAUGAACGCUGGCGGCGUGCCUAAUACUUGCAAGUCGAGCGAACAGACGAGGAGCUUGCUCCUCUGACGUUAGCGGCGGACGGGUGAGUAACACGUGGAUAACCUACCUAUAAGACUGGGAUAACUUCGGGAAACCGGAGCUAAUACCGGAUAAUAUAUUGAACCGCAUGGUUCAAUAGUGAAAGACGGUUUUGCUGUCACUUAUAGAUGGAUCCGCGCCGCAUUAGCUAGUUGGUAAGGUAACGGCUUACCAAGGCAACGAUGCGUAGCCGACCUGAGCGGGUGAUCGGCCACACUGGAACUGAGAUACGGCCCAGACGCCGAGGGGAGGCAGCAGUAGGGAAUCUUCCGCAAUGGGCGAAAGCCUGACGGAGCAACGCCGCGUGAGUGAUGAAGGUCUUCGGAUCGUAAAACGCUGUUAUUAGGGAAGAACAAAUGUGUAAGUAACUAUGCACGUCUUGACGGUACCUAAUCAGAAAGCCACGGCUAACUACGUG